GGGCCCGUGGCGGAAUCGGCAGACGCAGUGGACUUAAAAUCCGCGGCCCCGAAGGGGGCGUGAGGGUUCGAGUCCCUCCGGGCCCA
rnacentral:tRNA from 1 species